AAAAUUCAAAAUUACAUCCACAGACGCUCGACGUAUCGUUGUCUGGUUUUUGAUGGGCUUUAAAGUUUAUAUUAUUAAUUCGUCCACCACAUUAAAAACCAAAUUUCCAAACGAUCCUGCAAUCUCAGUGUCUGUGAGGCCAGAGUGAGAGCGGAACACGGAACAGAGAGCAAAGCAGGGCAUCAACGUACCGGAGAGCGCGAAUACCGCCCAGCUGUUACGCCGGGCAGCGCAUCCCCUUCCUCCUCCUCCUAAACACCGCCUCUUCUCCCCAAGCCGAGGCUGGGGCCUACCAGUAACCUAACCUUCUCCCACCCCCAUCACUCCCGAGGAUAGGGCCUGGGGGAAAGAGCUCUCCCCGCCUGUUAAAGGGGCAUUACAGUUGUCAUUAUCGCUGGCAGUUCGUUUAAUAUUCUUACUUUCAACAUGAUUUCGUUUCGGACAUGUGCCAGUAGACGGUCUCCUGAUGUAACUAAAAGUUUCUCCCGGAGAAACUCAGCAGGGAAUACCGUCUCAAAAUAGACACGAAUAAGAGAGCAUCACAGCAUCUGCUGAGGAGAGUUCCAACUUCCCAGAGGCUGCUUUGAGAGACAACAUAGAAAAGCUGGCAAAGCAGGGAGUGACAACAAUGAAUUGUACUAGCAGAACUGUGGUAUGAAAAAAUACUGGAUAACAGAUAUCAAUAGAUCCAAAAGACCUCCUUACAGCCUUGAAGACAUCUCACUGUUCCAUCCAAAAUCUUGAAAAGGAGGAAAAGGAUUGGGAGAACUUCAGUGACAGGAACUGACGGACAAUUGUGUCAGCAAAUGAAACUCUUGAAUGGUCCUGUCUACAGAGAGUAAUGAGCCCUGCUACUGGUGGCAUGUCAUUCGCUGUGACUGCCUACCUAAAAGGUGAAGGAGGAUCAGGCUAGCAUGGAGAACAGGAGAAUCAAGCUCAGGCAGAGCUCAUAGCCAUAGACCCCUCAGGAUGCAUGGGGUGCACAGGAGGCACAGAUUGUUCUCACCCUGAGUCCAGUUCCUAAGUGUGAGCAAGCCACAGUGCAAAGACAGGCUCUGUAUAUCCCAGAAUAGGGUUGUGGAACAGUGCUGAAUGCUGGUGUGGCAUCUGAGGAUGGCAUCAGGAGUGGGAUACUAUCCUCUCUUGGUGGCUGUGAAGAUCACUGCAGCACUGAACCUCUAUGCAACUGGCUCCUUCCGUGGACCAACAAAUUGCCAGUGUUGCUUUCCUCAGCCAUGCACUCACAAAUGUAUCAGGACAGUGACCAAUGCCAUAUGUGCGAGAUCACACUAAUUCAUUUUGUUUCUUAAUGAUGAGUUCAGUGCUGCAGCCUUGGCAAUACGGUUCUGAAAUAAAGCUGGCUUUCAGAACGCUAAGGAAUUCAUCAACUGGAAGAAGAUCCAUUUAUGUUCAGAUGAUCUGCAAACAUUACCACUCCCUGGAGGUGUGUGCUUGCUGCCCUGGUAGCUGUCACGGCUCCUUCAUCCUGGGGCACUUAUGUGUACAUGGUGAAUUUGAAGGUCCAGAUAUCUUACAAGACUGGUUACUAGGAGACAAGAGCUACCCACUGCAACCAUGGCUCGUGACGCCAAUGUGCAACCUCCUCGUGGAGACAAACUGGAAAUUUAACGUUGCUGCUGCCUCAAAAAGGGCCAUGGUGGAGCAGGGCAUAGGAUUGUUGAAGAUACAUUUCCACUACUUCUCAGGAUUCUUCUCAGGGGCCCCUCCAGUACAGUCUAGACAGAGUGUGUUACAUCACUCUGUUGUGCCCUGUACAGUUGGAACAAGCAACAAGGCAACUUGUAAAAUGUUGAGGAACUGGGGAAAUAAGAGCAGUCUUCCAAGGAGGGGGACAAGCAUGUUGAGGAGGAAGAAGCUAACAUUGUCCAUGCCAGACAAAAUCUCUGAUUAAAAACUGAAAGAACUGUGGAUGCUGCAAAUCAGGACCAAAGACAGAAGUUGCGAGAAACGUUCAGCAGGUCUGGCAGCAUCUGUGGAGAAAAAUUCAAAGUUAACGUUUCGCGCCCGUUUCAGACCUGAAAAGCUAACUCUGAUUUUCUCGCCACAGAUGCUGCCAGUCCUGAUGAAAAUCUCAUUGAUACUCAGUUCUCAUCGAAGAAAAUUGGAUGUAACAAUUGUUGACUAAAAAAUAAUUCUUGGUCAUGCUGCCAAAAUCAGUUAGCAUUGUGAGGGUGAAAUUCAGCU